rnacentral:rRNA from 1 species
UACGUAGGUGGCAAGCGUUAUCCGGAAUUAUUGGGCGUAAAGCGCGCGCAGGUGGUUUCUUAAGUCUGAUGUGAAAGCCCACGGCUCAACCGUGGAGGGUCAUUGGAAACUGGGAGACUUGAGUGCAGAAGAGGAAAGUGGGAAUUCCUGGUGUAAGCGGUGAAAUGGCGCAGAGUAAUCAGGAAGAACACCCGUGGCUAAGGCGGCUCUCUAGUACGGUACUGACGCUGAGACGCGAAAGCGUGGGGAGCGAACAGG